CAAAAGCGUAUAUUAAAGUUGUUGCGGUUAAAAAGCUCGUAGUUGGAGCUAGAUUGAUUCAAGACUUCCGACCUAUGGUUGAUUUCUUGAUCUUUCUUUUCUGCAUCUGCACUUGUGUAGCAUACAGAAUAUUACUUUGAGCAAAUCAGAGUGCUCGUAGCAGGCUUAAUGCCAUGAAUGUGUUAGCAUGGAAUAAUCAUAUUAAACCUCGGUUUUGUGAUGGUAAACACUGACGUAAUGACCAAAAGGAACAGUCGGGGUGAUCCGUAUUUGGUGGGGAGGGGUGAAAUCCGCAGAUCCACCAAAGACGAACUAAAGCGAAGGCAUUUCACAAGGAUGUUUUCAUUGAUCAAGAACGAAAGUUGGGGUAUCGAAGACGAUCAGAUACCGU
rnacentral:rRNA from 1 species